AUAUCGCGAGCACCAAGUAUAUCCGCAGAUUCUGUUGAUUCUCUCCUUGAUUUGCUUAACUCUAAAAUUAAGAUGAUCAUAGAUGACGUUGCCCCUGUGUAACAGGGUUAAAAUAAUGUUUAAUUGUCUUUCACCAAAAUGGGUUAUUUUGUUUAUUUUCUGGUUGUUGAGAGACCUCUUGUGGCAACAGUGUGUAAUUGUUUCUUUCACCUUUCACCUGCAAAGCCCCGCCUACAGCAGAAAAUGGUUGCUGAAUGCAGAAAGGCGAUGCAUGUUUAAAUGCAUACUGUUGCCAGAGGAUGUAUAUUUCUGUUACAGGUAUGUUGAACUUUUGUAAAUAACUAAUGUUUUGUUAAAAUGACUUUAUGUGGCAACACAGCAGAAAAUGGUUGCUGAAUGCAGAAAGGCGAUGCAUGUUUAAAUGCAUACUGUUGCCAGAGGAUGUAUAUUUCUGUUACAAAAUAAACAACGCAGAACGCA